rnacentral:misc_RNA from 1 species
AAGAACGCCCCGUUCUUUGAAAUGGGUAGUUCCCAAACCGUGUUUAUAUUACCUUUGUUGCUUUGGCAGGCCGCCUUCUAGGCGUCGGCUCCGGCUGACUGCGCCUGCCAGAGGACCCAAACUCGUUUGUUUAGUGUCGUCUGAGUACUAUAUAAUAGUUA